rnacentral:rRNA from 1 species
GGGUCAGUAGGUUGGUCGUGCCACCGGUACGUACUGGUCUCACUGAUUCCUCCUGCCUGAAGAACCGUAAUGCCAUUAAUUUGGUGUUGCGGGGAAACAGGACUGUUACGUUGAAAAAAUUAGAGUGUUUAAAGCAAGCUAACGCUUGAAUACAUUAGCAUGGAAUAAUGAAAUAGGACGAUCGAUCCUAUUUUGUUGGUUUCUAGGAUUGACGUA